UACGUAGGGGGCAAGCGUUGUCCGGAAUCAUUGGGCGUAAAGAGCGUGUAGGCGGUCCUGUAAGUCCGCUGUGAAAGUCAAGGGCUCAACCCUUGAAUGCCGGUGGAUACUGCAGGACUAGAGUCCGGAAGAGGCGAGUGGAAUUCCUGGUGUAGCGGUGAAAUGCGCAGAUAUCAGGAGGAACACCGAUGGCGAAGGCAGCUCGCUGGGACGGUACUGACGCUGAGACGCGAAAGCCAGGGGAGCGAACGGG
rnacentral:rRNA from 1 species